AAGGUUGCAAAUGCAGUCGACAGACAAUUUAUCCAUAUGAUAAAAUAUUGGAAAGACGGAUGAAUGAGGGGAAGGCAGCAGAGGUCAAAGUACGCUACCUUGUUCUUCCUGGUCAUACCUGAAAGGAGAGAUAGAAAUAUGAAGAGAGAAAAUCACAGACGUGUUGCUUCUUCAGUACUUUUAUCCUGAAUAAAGCGCGUCUCGGGACGUUCACUCUAUCCGCGCAUGACGACAGGCACGCAGUGGCAGAGUCUGGGAGGACACCUGGGAGCCGGCCAGCAAUACUGUUGUGCUAUUUGUUUUGUAUAUAUUUGUCGAUAAUUAAAUUCACAAUUUUUACAUUUUAUGAUUUGUCUGCCAAUCAUUGACUUCACUGAAUACUUAAGGUGUCAUGACUUUUGUGUGUAUUUGAUGG